rnacentral:rRNA from 1 species
AGAGUUUGAUCCUGGCUCAGAACGAACGCUGGCGGCAUGCCUAACACAUGCAAGUCGAACGAGACCUUCGGGUCUAGUGGCGCACGGGUGCGUAACGCGUGGGAAUCUGCCCUUGGGUUCGGAAUAACAGCGGGAAACUGCUGCUAAUACCGGAUAAUGACGUAAGUCCAAAGAUUUAUCGCCCAAGGAUGAGCCCGCGUAGGAUUAGCUAGUUGGUGAGGUAAAGGCUCACCAAGGCGACGAUCCUUAGCUGGUCUGAGAGGAUGAUCAGCCACACUGGGACUGAGACACGGCCCAGACUCCUACGGGAGGCAGCAGUGGGGAAUAUUGGACAAUGGGCGAAAGCCUGAUCCAGCAAUGCCGCGUGAGUGAUGAAGGCCUUAGGGUUGUAAAGCUCUUUUACCCGGGAUGAUAAUGACAGUACCGGGAGAAUAAGCUCCGGCUAACUCCGUGCCAGCAGCCGCGGUAAUACGGAGGGAGCUAGCGUUGUUCGGAAUUACUGGGCGUAAAGCGCGCGUAGGCGGCUUUGUAAGUUAGAGGUGAAAGCCUGGAGCUCAACUCCAGAAUUGCCUUUAAGACUGCAUCGCUUGAA